rnacentral:rRNA from 1 species
GAUGAACGCUGGCGGCGUGCUUAACACAUGCGAGUCGAACGGAAAGGCCCUGCUUUUGUGGGGUGCUCGAGUGGCGAACGGGUGAGUAACACGUGUGUAACCUGCCCUUCACUUUGGGAUAAGUUCAGGAAACUGGGGCUAAUACCGGAUAGGAUACCCCGUUGGAUGGUGGGGGUUGGAACGUUUCGGCGGGUGCGGAUGGACUGGCGGGUUAUCGGCUUGCUGGUGGGGUAGUGGCUUACCAAGGCUUUGGCGGGUAGGCGACCUGGGAGGGGGGACGGCCACAUGGGGACUGAGGGACGGACCAGACGCGUAUGGGAGGCAGGAGUGGGGAAUAUUGCACAACGGGCGCAAGCCUGAUGCAGCGACGCCGCGUGCGGGAUGACGGCCUUCGGGGUGUAAACCGCUUUCGCCUGUGACGAAGCGGGAGUGACGGUAACGGGAGAAGAAGCACCGGCUAACUACGUG